CUUGUACUCCCUCCGUACGAAAAUACUUGUCAUUGAAAUGGAUGUAUCUAGAUGUAUUUUAGUUCUAGACACAUCCAUUUUGAUGACAAGUAAUUCCGGACGGAGGGAGUACUUG
rfam:Triticum aestivum genome assembly, contig: Triticum_aestivum_CS42_TGACv1_scaffold_019360_1AS